GAAAUAAUGCCAACUUAAACCUUCCCUCCCCUAGGGAGCUCUCCCUAACAAUCUGGGCUGGAAAGAGUGUGUUCCUUUAGGAAACAAAGCAUGUAUUACCCAUUGAGAAUCCAUUAUUACUUUGAAUUUUUAGUUUUGUUUUCAUGUGUUGCUUUAUCUUCUUAAUUAAAUUAUCUCUUCUAGGGAGAAGACAUCUUACUCUUAUUGGAUCAUGCACAGUGCCUGAAGCAUUCUGUUGCAUGUAGAAGUCAGUAAAUUGCAGAUGUAAGAUUCAAAACCAGACUUCACAUCUACCGACUUCAGUGACCCUGAAAUUUGUUCACAGAGAGCAUUUAACAUAACUGUCUUCAUCAUCUCCUUCUCUACAUUAAAAAUUAUGGAGGCCUUACAAACUGGUAGAAGAUGCAUAACAGAAGAGCUUAUGAAGUUAAAGAUGACAGCAUAGCAGCACUGGUGAGAUCCUUUUAGACAUAACAUGGUAGGAAGGACUGUUUGACAAAGUGAAUGCCUGUCUUUCAGAAUAUACAGGGAGGUGUGAUGUACCCAUUAUCACAAGCAGAUGGAAUCCCUAUAGAGUCGGAUCUCAUCUACAUAUCACCUAUUAUAUGUAGUUAUUGAUGGAUAAAUACUUCAACAACUAAAGGCAGAAAGAGAGCAGUUCACAAAGACGUUAUUGGUGAUUCAAUCUUGAGUCAUGAAAAGUCAACCUUGAGCCACAAAAAGUCAACCUUGAGCCAAGCAGAUUGGAGAGUCAUACAU
rnacentral:lncRNA from 1 species